rnacentral:piRNA from 1 species
UGACUCCGAAACUGGACAUCGCUCGAAAU